rnacentral:rRNA from 1 species
UACGUAGGUGGCAAGCGUUGUCCGGAUUUACUGGGCGUAAAGAGCGCGCAGGCGGUCGUUCAAGUCGCGUGUGAAAGCCCCCGGCUCAACUGGGGAGGGUCACGCGAUACUGAUCGACUCGAAGGCAGGAGAGGGUAGUGGAAUUCCCGGUGUAGCGGUGAAAUGCGCAGAUAUCAGGAAGAACACCCGUGGCGAAGGCGGCUUUCUGGGACGGUACUGACGCUGAGACGCGAAAGCGUGGGGAGCGAACAGG